rnacentral:rRNA from 1 species
CGUGUAGGCGGCUCGUUAAGUCCGGUGUGAAACCUUGGGGCUCAACCCCAAGCCUGCACUGGAUACUGGCGAGCUCGAGUCCGGGAGGGGAGAGCGGAAUUCCUAGUGUAGCGGUGAAAUGCGCAGAUAUUAGGAAGAACACCGGUGGCGAAGGCGGCUCUCUGGAACGGUACUGACGCUGAGACGCGAAAGCGUGGGGAAGCGAAACAG